UAGGGAAUCUUCCACAAUGGACGCAAGUCUGAUGGAGCAACGCCGCGUGAGUGAAGAAGGUCUUCGGAUCGUAAAACUCUGUUGUUAGAGAAGAACAUGAGUGAGAGUAACUGUUCAUUCGAUGACGGUAUCUAACCAGCAAGUCACGGCUAACUACGUGCCAA
rnacentral:rRNA from 1 species